CUCUCCCCAGGCAAAAGAGAUUCGAAGCGUGGGGAGGAUUCUACACAAGGGAGAUUCUCUGUCCCUGGCUUUGAGGACACAGGGGACAACGGCAAGGAAUAGGAGAAGCAUCUCGUGGCUGAGAGCAGCCCCCAGCGGACAGCCAUCAGGGAUCUGAGGACUCAGUCCUAAAACCACAAGGAGCCGAGUUCUGCCAGUAACCGGACUUGAACCUGGACGUGGUUCGUUCCUCACCCCAGCCUCUAGAUCCCCGUGAGCCGGCCGUUACCUCGGUUACAAGGCCAUUACCUCCUUGUAAGGCAUCGAAAGAGAACCCACCCACACGAUGAUGGACCACUGAUGCUGUUUUAAUCCACUACAUAUCUGUUUGCCAUUUGUCACGUAGCAAACUAGUAGACGACCAGUAUGUCUCCUCCACUCAAAAUUCCGCAGCUGCCCCCCUCACUCUGAGCCGAGGGCAGCGCUACGCUGGCCUACAGGCCCGGAGGUGGGACCGCCCUGACCUCCACCCUCCUCAUCGCUCACUCAGCCCUUCACGGGCCUCUGUGCUGUCCCUCCACUGCACCGGGCCGGCCUGGAACUCUGCUCUGCCCGGCGUCUGCUUGGUCAACUUCCUCCCCUGCUUCGUCUUUGCGUGAGUCUCUCCCCCUCAUGCACCUGACAGGCACCGCAUCGGUGGGCCACGUGGACCAGCCUAUUCUUUGGCCCCUCCAGGCUCUGCUGCCUCGUCUCUCCCAUGGCGCUGAUCGGCACCAACAUCUGUGCUCCCCUACUCACGGGCUACCACCCACCUCCCUCCGCUAGAACAGAAGCUCCUCAAAGACAAGUGUCUUUGUCUUGUUCACAGACGAAUCCCGAGCACCUGGAACAGCGCCCUGGCAUACGGCAGGUGCUCGACAAGAAACCUGAGUCCAGAAACCCAAGCCCUGCAUCCCCGCUCUGUUAAGCUACUUAACUACCCGUUGCCUCGGUUUCCUCACCCAUGACGAAGAAUUACUUACCUAACUCUAUCAGCUUUCGGUGCAGGAUACAAAAACUACUCUACAAAUUUCGAGCAGAAAGGGAUCUAACUCAAGGGCUUGCGUGAUUUCAAAAUCUUCGUGAGGCCUCAAGUAGUUGGCUCUAAGCUGGGCCCCCAGGAACAGCUCCCCACACCGCGCCUGCGUCGAAGGUGCCAAAGAACCACGGGAUUCAAGAAUGCAGCAGGAUCAGGAAGCCACCACCACGGCCACCCCUUCCACCGCGGCUGCCUCUCAGCGGCCAGGAAAUGAAUACUCGGCUGAUGCUGGGACCCGAUUCCUGCCCAGAACCCCAGGCCCAAGACACACACUUCUAACCCUGGCCGCCACAGGAAGGAAGGCGGCCUGGACUGAAGGUGGCCUGGAGGAGGAGCGAGCCGGCCGGCGGGAUCUGCCUACCGCCCCGCCCCCCACCGUGCUCUCUCCCGUGAUGUGCCACAAGGCUGAGAACGGUACCGCGCAAGCUCCAGAGGCUGCCUGCUAUUCCCGCACAGGGGGUGCCGGCCGGCACAGGUUUCUCAAGUACGGCCGCCCUGCUGGGAAACUCACCUCUCAAAAGAGAAAGCAAGGACCCCACUCCUUCCUCAGCACGGCUCCCAAAUGAUCAGAUCCCCAAAGCCCGGGGCAGUACAGAACUAAAAAUUUAGUUCAACGCAUUCACCCCAAGUCAAGAUAUGCCUUAAAGAUUUGUUUUUCUUAAAACAAUGGUUUCACAUUUUUCCAUAUAGCAGGUCCCUAAAAAAGGAGAGACCUUACGCGAAACUCCGACAGAAGCAGAGAACAGGGCCAGAGAUGUGAUCUGCACACUGGGCUUCUGCUCUGUCCAGAGCUUCUCUCGCACGGCCUCACUGAAUUCUUAACAACCGCUCUUUAAGACAGGUGUGAUGAGCCACCCGGCACACACGGGGACCGCGGAGGCGAGGGGAGCUCCUGAGAUCACACAGGUCAAACCUGGGUCCCCUCGCCUCUAUUACAACUCAGGGGGUGCCAGGGCGAGCCAGGCGCAGACCUCGCCCCUAAGCGGCCCGCAGCCAGGUCGGGAGGCAGACCGGAAAAAGGCACCACUAUGGUUCUUUACGGGCAGCCUGAGGUCGCACCGCCCCAGCCGCCCCUCCUCCCCACGCCCUCUGCUUCCCCUGCCUCCGGUGCGGCCUGAGCAUCUCCCCCAGAUCACCUCCUCGGACAGCUUCGUAAAGGGCCGCCCAAAAGCAGCUGCAAGUGCUCAAAGCUGAUUACCACCUUCCGGGCCGGCGCAGAUUAGCAGCCUUGAACCCCUGGCUUCACAGAAAGAACGCUUCUCCUGCAGACAAGUGUGUUACUGACUUCCUCUCCCCUUGUCCGCCCAGGUGUCUAGAUAAGUACUGUUAAAACACAGCAGGCCCUCGGAAUCCCACAACAGUCCCUCCCUCCAAACGAGAUGAGGAUCCUCCUGAAGUUGUAUUGUAUUAGUGAAUUUCCUUCAAGGAGACGAACACCAACACUUACAACCCGUUAGCCCAGUGGUUCUCAACGGCUGGGUAACUUUGCCCACCACCCCCCCACCCCGCGCCUCCCCAGGACAUACGGCUAUGUCUGGCUGUCGUAACCGGGAAGCGCUCCUGGCACCUAGAGGGCAGAGGCCACGGAGAGCCAUCCAUCUCAAAGCGUCAACAGUGGAGAAAUCCCGAUUUAACUUUCUGAAUAACUUCUGAUUGAAGUAAGCACAACGUUAAGAGAAGAACUAAAGAAAA